rnacentral:rRNA from 1 species
CAGUAGCCGCGGGAAUACGUAGGUCCCGAGCGUUGUCCGGAUUUAUUGGGCGUAAAGGGAGCGCAGGCGGUUUAGUAAGUCUGAAGUUAAAGGCAUUGGCUCAACCAAUGUAUGCUUUGGAAACUGUUAGACUUGAGUGCAGAAGGGGAGAGUGGAAUUCCAUGUGUAGCGGUGAAAUGCGUAGAUAUAUGGAGGAACACCGGUGGCGAAAGCGGCUCUCUGGUCUGUCACUAACGCUGAGGCUCGAAAGCGUGGGUAGCGAACAGGAUUAGAUACCCCCGUAGUCCCUGUCUCUUAUCCA